AGUGAACGCUGGCGGUAGGCCUAACACAUGCAAGUCGAACGACAGCACAGUAAGAGCUUGCUCUUACGGGUGGCGAGUGGCGGACGGGUGAGGAAUGCAUCGGAAUCUACUUUUUCGUGGGGGAUAACGUAGGGAAGCUUACGCUAAUACCGCAUACGACCUACGGGUGAAAGCAGGGGAUCUUCGGACCUUGCGCGAUUGAAUGAGCUGAUGUCGGAUUAGCUAGUUGGCGGGGUAAAGGCCCACCAAGGCGACGAUCCGUAGCUGGUCUGAGAGGAUGAUCAGCCACACUGGAACUGAGACACGGUCCAGACUCCUACGGGAGGCAGCAGUGGGGAAUAUUGGACAAUGGGCGCAAGCCUGAUCCAGCCAUACCGCGUGGGUGAAGAAGGCCUUCGGGUUGUAAAGCCCUUUUGUUGGGAAAGAAAAGCAGCAGGUUAAUACCCCGCUGUUCUGACGGUACCCAAAGAAUAAGCACCGGCUAACUUCGUG
rnacentral:rRNA from 1 species